UACGAAGGGGGCUAGCGUUGUUCGGAAUUACUGGGCGUAAAGCGCGUGUAGGCGGGUCCUUAAGUCAGGGGUGAAAUGCCGGAGCUCAACUUCGGAACUGCCUUUGAUACUGGGGAUCUUGAGUCCGGGAGAGGUGAGUGGAACUGCGAGUGUAGAGGUGAAAUUCGUAGAUAUUCGCAAGAACACCAGUGGCGAAGGCGGCUCACUGGCCCGGAACUGACGCUGAGACGCGAAAAGCGUGGGGAGCAAACAGG
rnacentral:rRNA from 1 species